AUCCUUUUUUGGUUCAUAAGCAUUAUGAUUAAGGAUUCAUGUCAAUGAGUGACAGGUGCCACUCAUUAAACUUUGUUAGGACAUGGAUGCAUUACCUGUCUGAUG
ensembl:snoRNA